GGGGGAAUAGUACAUCGGCUAGUAUUCUAGGCUUCAAACUUAGAGAGGGGGGUUCGAUUCCCUCUUCCCCUG
rnacentral:tRNA from 1 species